GACGGAGGAUGCAAGUGUUAUCCGGAAUCACUGGGCGUGAAGCGUCUGUAGGUGGUUUAAAAAGUCCACUGUUAAAGGUUGAAGCUUAACUUCAAAAAUGCCGUGGAAACUUUUAAACUUGAGUAUGGUAGGGGUAGAGGGAAUUUCCAGUGGAGCGGUGAAAUGCGUAGAUAUUGGAAAGACCACCGAUGGCGAAGGCACUCUACUGGGCCAUUACUGACACUGAGAGACGAAAGCUAGGGGAGCAAAUGGG
rnacentral:rRNA from 1 species